UACGUAGGGCGCAAGCGUUAUCCGGAAUUAUUGGGCGUAAAGGGCUCGUAGGCGGUUUGUCGCGUCGGGAGUGAAAACUCAGGGCUCAACCCUGAGCGUGCUUCCGAUACGGGCAGACUAGAGGUAUGCAGGGGAGAACGGAAUUCCUGGUGUAGCGGUGGAAUGCGCAGAUAUCAGGAGGAACACCGGUGGCGAAGGCGGCUCUCUGGGACGGUACUGACGCUGAGACGCGAAAGCGUGGGGAGCGAAUAGG
rnacentral:rRNA from 1 species